AUGGUCCAGGUUCUGGAGGGACUCUGUGCUGGGACUUUGUGCUGGGACCCUUCGCUGUUUGUUCCCAUUUCUCCACUUUCCCCUUGCUUUUCCUGCUUUUUAGCUCCUCUCCCAAGUGCAGGAGGGAAAGGGAGGGAGAAGCCCAGGGCUUGCUGCCAGCCCGGCUCGCCUUGUUUCACGCAUAAGUCUCUAAACACAGACUUCAGCAAAGUCAUCUCAGAUGAGCCAGACCAGGAGUGGACCUCGGGAAGGGCACAGCAGGCUCAUGUAGGCACAUGGGGACACAGCCCUGGGGGAAGACACGGCAUUGGGGACAUGCGUGGACACUGCUGUUGCCAUGGUGAAGGGGCAAGCCUGUUCCCCCAUCAGAUGAGGCACCUAGUCUACCUGCAGCAGGAAAAACAGCUACAUCUUCAGGGAGCCUGUUUUCCUCAAACACAGGACUUGGCAUUGUGUGAUUUCCUUUUCUCCCGCAGGCAGAGGUUUCCCUUCAGCAGCAUUGACUUCUCUCUGAACUAGGCCAGGGACUGAACCCAGGAUGACUGGAGACAGCUGUGGGUGUGCAGGCUGCACCUCAAGCAAUAGGAGGACUUCAUUCAGCUCCGGGAGGGGACUUGCCCAGUAAGACAAAGCCAUGACCAAAUGCCCAGCUGUGCGGCCAGGGCAGGAAGAGAAGCCUAGGGCUUCCUCCCAUGAUGGGACAGUCUCACCACCCUUCUGAGCCAUCACCCAAGCCACCUCCUCUGUCCACAAGUUGGUAUUUUGGAAGAGCCACACUGGCUGUUGUCAGCCACACACCCUCUUCCUGCUGCCCCUGGCCUGGCACAGGUCCUUCUCAGAGUGGCUGAUGCUCUUACCACUGGGACAGCCCGCAGAUGUCCCCCAAGGCAGAGUGUGCUCUGGAAAGCCUCUGGUCUCUGAAGUCCAUGGGAAUGUCACCCAAGAGCCAUACCAAGGUCACAGCCCC
rnacentral:lncRNA from 1 species